GGAUGAUGAAUUAAUUACCUUGAAUGGUCCUUCCCAUUUGCUCCGGAGUUUUCCAUGCCCGAAAAGCUUCACCCUGGAAUUAAAAAGUAAUACCUUAUCUCCGGGUGUGAACUCCUUCUUCUUGAUUCUCUUGUCAUGCCACCUCUUGACUCUUUCUUUGUAGAUCUAUGAGUUGUCAUAUGCCUUCUCUCGUCAUUCUUCCAAUUCUGAUAGUUGCAUUCUUCUAUAAUCUCCAGCAACAUCUAGGUCCAUAUUCCAUCUCUUUAUGGCCCAGCGUGCU
rnacentral:lncRNA from 1 species